rnacentral:lncRNA from 1 species
AUGCUUGCAGAGUCAUCUUCAGAAUGAGUCAGCUCCGCUUGUCCCAGGCAGGAGACUCACGAGUUGAUGUGAAAUGCGGAUUCCCUAUGAGACGGAGGACAUUGCAUGUCUCAUCCCAUCACGACCGUGUGGGUCUCGUUAUUUCAUAAGAGAGGGGGAAAAUGUGAAUUGGAAUUUUAUUUCCUAAGUACUGUUCUUGGUUUCUGACCAGCUGAUCCCAAGUUUCACAUCCUUGUCUGUGAAGCUAAACUCAAUGCUGCUGUGUGGGAAGAAGAUUUGUAAAGAAAACUCUUAGGUUUAAUUUUGCCACACUUGCUAAAGAAAACAUUAUACACGGCCCUUAUUAAAGAACGUCUCAAAGGAAUCGCGAUAGGUGCAGGGGCCACUGCAGUGGGACUAGGCUCAACUCUGAGUGUAAGAAGAAAAACGGGAAUGUACAGCCACGGAGAGGGUGAGAACGGACGGAAAACUAUGAAGAGGCUACAUCAGGCCAGGGGGGUUCUUGCUAGAACCACUUGGUAGGAUUCGUGCCACAGGCAGGCCAGGUGAUAAGAUACCGAGGGUGAGG